CCCUAACACAUGCAAGUCGAGCGGCAGCGGGAAGUAGUUUACUACUUUGCCGGCGAGCGGCGGACGGGUGAGUAAUGUCUGGGGAUCUGCCUGAUGGAGGGGGAUAACUACUGGAAACGGUAGCUAAUACCGCAUGACCUCGUAAGAGCAAAGUGGGGGACCUUCGGGCCUCACGCCAUCGGAUGAACCCAGAUGGGAUUAGCUAGUAGGUGGGGUAAUGGCUCACCUAGGCGACGAUCCCUAGCUGGUCUGAGAGGAUGACCAGCCACACUGGAACUGAGACACGGUCCAGACUCCUACGGGAGGCAGCAGUGGGGAAUAUUGCACAAUGGUCUUCAAAGG
rnacentral:rRNA from 1 species